CAGGCAUGAGCCACUGCAUCUGGCCAUGAAAUUGAAUUUUAGAAUUUCAAGCCUUCAGAGAAGAAUCUAAAGUUCUGAAGAAGGAAAAAUGGAAAUUAUGAUAGAGCCUAGAAGGAAAGAAAUGAAUAUGUUUAAUUUUGUUACAAGGGAAUAAGAAAUGGUGGGGAAGAGAAGACGGAGGAGAUACUUUCAUUCAUAGGCCAUGCCUCUGCAUUCAAACACUGGUCAUUCUGAUGUGGAGUCCAGUGUUAAUCCAAGGAACCAGGACAAUUUGAAAAGGAAAUGUCACAUUACUGAGUUUUCAAAGGAUGUCCAAAUCUUAUUUUUGCAAAAUAUGGCUGUUUGUAUAGUUUAUUUUUGGCAAAGUAUGGUUGUUAGUUUAUGUAGUUUAUACAGUUAAAAGAUUUCUCUAGUCAUUGCAAGUUUUCUUGUCUGUACCUUUAUGAGAUGGGUGAAUUUUCGUCUCAUGGACAUGUGCUGAUGUUGGGAGACAGUUCUCCCUGGGCCUUUUGUUCCUGUAUGUUCUUGCUGGAUAUGCAGAAAUGCAAGGCCCUUCAUGGCUCUUUAUUAAUAAGGGCCAUUUUCCAGGGUUGCAUUUUCAAUGAGCAGCCUGAAGAGAUGAGGGAGAAAGAGCACGUGAGCCACUGGCUGCUAUGGAGCAGCUGGUUUGCAAGCUCGGUGUUUUUUGUGACACGACCCACUGCAGGAUCAAGGACCAAACACUUUCCCUCUGGGAAGUGGGGUCCAGGAAACAGACAUGAAUUCUGAUACUGUGGCUGCUGCUUUUGCAGCAAGUAAGAAAGUCUUUCAUCUCUGGUCUAGGAUUCUUAUGUUUCCUCUAAGCAUCCACAAAAUUGUGACAAACUAAUGUGCUGGCUUUUCAGCAGAGUAAAAUGAAAUCCCAGACCCUUCACGGUCCUUGAUAGCCAGCAUAGAAUAGUUAAGCAGCAAAUAUUUAUGUGACAAUCACUUUCUUAAAAAAAAUAAAACACUUUUUGUACAAAGCAGUGACAGUAGCUGAAAUUGCUAAACAAAAUUCUAUUCUAAAAAUUUGCCAUCUUAACUAGAUAGCUAAAAUUUUCUAAUGUGUGAAAGAAGGGGCUACACACUCACACAGACAAUGAGAAACUUGGUAGUGGGUGGCCACUUUGUUUCUAGGUCAUCCACUAGAGGUACAUCCCCAAAGAGGUGUAUCCUUGGUCAGAAAAGGAUGGACUUACGAUAAGAUACCAAGAUACAUCUACAGAAUAAUCCUGUGAGUAGGAAAUGCAAAGGCACUAUAUUCCUCCAGAGUGGAGGCAGAGGGUGGGUUGGCUUUCGGUUUCUUGCCAUUUUUGUUUUUUGGGUUAAUUUUUCUUUCUUUUUUUUUUAUUAUACUUUAAGUUUUAGGGUACAUGUGUACAACGUGCAGCUUUGUUACAUAUGUAUACAUGUGCCAUGUUGCUGUGCUGCACCCAUUAACUCGUCAUUUACAUUAGGUAUAUCUCCUAAUGCUAUCCCUCCCCGCUCCCCCCCACCCCACAACAGGCCCCGGUGUGUGAUGUUCCCCUUCCUGUGUCCAUGUGUUCUCAUUGUUCAGUUCCCACCUAUGAGUGAGAACAUGUGGUGUUUGGGUUUCUGUCCUUGUGACAGUUUGCUCAGAAUGAUGGUUUUCAGCGUCAUCCAUGUCCCUACAAAGGACAUGACCUCAUCCUUUUUUAUGGCUGCAUAGUAUUCCAUGGUGUAUAUGUGCCACAUUGUCUUAAUCCAGUCUAUCAUUGUUGCACAUUUGGGUUGGUUCCAAGUCUUUGCUAUUGUGAAUAGUGCCACAAUAAACAUACGUGUGCACGUGUCUUUAUAGCAGCAUGAUUUAUAAUCCUUUGGGUAUAUACCCAGUAAUGGGAUGGCUGGGUCAAAUGGUAUUUCUAGUUCUAGAUCCUUGAGGAAUUGCCACACUGUCUUCCACAAUGGUUGAACUAGUUUACAGUCCCACCAACAGUGUAAAAGUGUUCCUAUUUCUCCACAUCCUCUCCAGCACCUGUUGUUUCCUGACUUUUUAAUGAUCGCCAUUCUAACUGGUGUGAGACGGUAUCUCGUUGUGGUUUUGAUUUGCAUUUUUCUGAUGGCCAGUGAUGAUGAGCAUUUUUUCAUGUGUCUUUUGGCUGCAUAAAUGUCUUCUUUUGAGAAGUGUCUGUUCAUAUCCUUUGCCCACUUGUUGAUGGGCUUGUCAUUUUUAUGGAACACAGUGUGGUCAUGUGUCCACAGCCAUACAAGUCAAUGACUGGACUAUUGGAAAUCCUUGCUGUUGGCAUCUCACAAACCUUUUCCUUUCUCUCAGUACUUUUUCUCUAAGUAAUGAUGCAGUUCAGGCCCUCAGCUUGUUGUUUUGUGAUAUGUGCCAGCCACCUGCUUCUCGAACCAUAUCUUUCUCGUUGGAUGAACACAGAGCCAGGAUGCCUGCUACACCCACAUCCCCUGCGGAGGUCUCUUGAUGAUAGCCACUGCUGAGGGAAGCAGCCCUAGGCAGCCCCACAAACACAGUAAUGACGCUGCCUCUCGGGAGCUGAUCAGAGCACGCUGGGAAGCCUGAGGAAGAUAGUCCGUCCGUCAGCCAGCCAGCAAUCAGUGACAUGGUACAGGGGUAGCUCUAUCCAAGCAGGGAUGUCAAUGCAGUGAAAUAGGUUUCUCACGAGAAUUUGCACACGAGGUAAAGGGAGAGUCAACAGCACAGGCUUGUUGUCAGGUUUAAGUGAGAUCAUUCCCAUAAGGCACUCAGCAGAGCGCUUGGCUGAAAUAUGGGGCUUAAUAAAUGUUGGGGAAUUAACACUACUAUUAUUGUGAAUAGCUGAAGCUGAAGGAUACUGAGAGAAGGCAAAGAACAGAGAGGCCGUGGGCAAGCUGGGGCCAUGAAUACCCAACCGUUUGGAAGGGAGGCCAAAAAGAAAUACGAGGUAGGGAUGAGAUGUUGAAGAAGCAACGUAGAGGAGUGGAAUCACACGAACGAGUGUGGCACCCUCUCUGUGUCCUGCAGACUCGCACUGGCAAGAGCGCGAGGUAACAGCCUGUUCUCCAGCUGCCCGGAGGCUGGAUGACCUUCACAGGCCCCAAAUUCUAACCUCUAGAGCCUGCCAUCUCCUUCCUCCCUUAUAUUCCUGUUUGGGUGGUGUUUCCCAGACUCCUGUGGGAUCUGGACGCUUGUUUCCAAUAUUUGAAAAUUAUUUCCACAAAAUGAAAUCCUUUCAUUAGUAUCAUAUCACUUGCCCUGUCCAUACUACUCAUUACUAGGGGUACCUCGAGUAAGCCUCGCGCCUUGUUACCAAAAAGGAUACCUUGACAUACUUGCCCUUUCCAACUCACAUCUUCCCGAGAUGCCCCUUUCUUGCUGGCUAGAUAGAAUUUAUUCACUCUCUCAGCUUCUCUACCAUAUGGUGGUGUGACGGUCAAUUUUAUGUGUCAACUUGACUGAGCUAAGGGACACCCAGAUAGCUGAUAAAACGUUGUUUUUGGAUGAGUCUGUGAGUGUGUCUCCAGAAGAGAUUAACAUUUUCAUCAGUAGACGCAGUGGAAUCUACCCUCACCAAUGAGAGUGGGCAUCAUCUAAUCCCUUAAGGGGCCAAAUAGAACAAAAAGGCAGAGGAAGGGCGAAUUCUCUUCUUCUUGAUCUCGGACAUCCAACUCUUCUGCCCUCAGACAUUGAAGGGUCUGGUGUUUGGGUCUUUAGACUCCAGGACUCCACCCUCGAAUUCUCAAGUCUUUGACCUUGGACUGGGGGAAGUCACGCCAUCGUCACCCCAUUGACCCCCCUGGUUCUCAGAUCUUCACACUCGGGCUGGAUCACACCACUGGCUUUCCUGGUUCUUCAGCUCGCAGAUGGCAGAUGAUGCGACUUCUUAGCCUCUGUGAUUGCGUGAGCCUGUUCCCCUAAUAAAUCUCCUGGUGUAUGUCUCUGUAUCUUAUUGGUUCUGUUUCUCUGGAGAACCCCAAUACAGGGGGAGGAAGAGACACUUGCUCUUUAUAAAUGGGCGGUGUAUCACAAUUCUGUGGUGAUUUUGAGCUAAUUUUCUGCUUUGGAACCACUGAAGAGGCUUAUUGAAGACUGGAAUGGAAUGGAAUUUUGUAAUGGUAGAGCUGUCGCGUAUGCCAAUUACAAGUGUUGCGGGCAGGACAGUUACUUCACAGGCAGAAGUAGUGUCUGUGUGAUUCUCUGAGAAGCCCUGCCUUCCUGCCAGGCAGAAGGUGCUGGAGCUGACUGCACGGGCCAACAGGAGCAACUGUACACCUCUCGCCAACUCCACCCUGAGUAGCAUCACACUGGGAGUUUGAAAUCAGCCAAGGAGGAACUAUUUUCACCCUGCAUGCCCACAAAUCUCAACUCAGAGCUUCGGUUUCUUCCGGAGAGUUAGUCUACCAGCACACUGCUGCUAGGAAGUAUAAGAAGUAGGUUUACUUCACAGUAAACAUCCUUCCAGUCUACCUGGAUUCCACAGGUAGAUUGAAACAAGGGGAUGCUUUUGACAAAAGGCUUUGUGAUGACUGCUUCUGUCACAGGAAUGCUCAGAAGAGAUGUCAAGAGGCUGGCCUCUCCAAAGUCUCACAGCUGGAGUGUGGGUACCAGGUUCUGUCUAGUGGCUUUCAACGUUUGUUUUCUGUCUUACAGCAUCCAUCAGAGGAUGACAUGUCCAUGCGAGAAGCAGUUUCAUGAGUGUUUGUUAAUGUGAUCACUGCAGUUAUAUUCCUUACUCUUCAGACAAGCAAGAAUAAGGGAAUGUGUGUGAAAGAGGUAGUCUGAAAUAUUCUGGUGGUUUUUGUUUUGUUUUGGAGAUAGAGUUAUGCUCUUGUCACCCAGGCUGGAGUGCAGUGGCACGAUCUCUGCUCCCUGCAACCUCUGCCUUCCAAGUUCAAGCAAUUCUCCUGCCUCAGCCUCUCAAGUAGCUGGAACUACAGGCCUGAGCCACCAUUCCCAGCUAAUUUUUUUGUAUUUUUAGUAGAGACAGGGUUUCACCAUGUUGGCCAGGCUGGUCUCAAAGUCCUGACUUCAGUUGAUCCUCCCCACUCACCUUCCCAAAGUGUUGGGAUUACAGGCAUGAGCCACCAUGCCCGGCCUUUUUUUUUUUUUUUUUUUUGAUACGGAGUUUCACUUUUGUUGCCCAGGCUGGAGUGCAAUGGUACGAUUUCAGCUCACUGCAACCUCCGCCUCCUGAGUUCAAGCAAUUCUCCUGCCUCAGCCUCCCGAGUAGUUGUGGUGACAGGUGCAUGCCACCAUGCCCCACUAAUUUUUGUAUUUUUAGUAGAGAUGGCUUCACCAUGUUAGCCAGGCUGGUCUCGAAAUCCCAGCCUCAGGUGAUCCACCCACCUCUGCCUCCCAAAAUUCUGAGAUUACCGGCAUGAGUCACUGCGCCUGGCCAAUAUUCUGUUUUUUAAUGCAAGUCAUUGAUAAAAUUAGUCCUACAUUUUUGUGGUCACAGCUUACGACUGAUACUGAGGUUAAGGACCAUGAGUUUAGAUGAUACAAGAGUGAAGGGAAAUUGUGCUCUGCAGGGACUCAUGUUGCAAUUUUCUGUCUUUGGGAGCCACUCAGCUAAAUAUUAUAAAAAAAAAAACCAAAAAGAGCAA